rnacentral:lncRNA from 1 species
CUUUCCCCAUGCUUGGAGAUCCCACGAACGCCAGGGAAGCCUCCGUCUGCAUUCAUCCCUGAGCAAAAUUGAAAGGCAAGACCAAGGAGCAGUGUUUCCAGGGGCGAGUUGGGAGGCAAAAAGAAAGAAGUACCUCUCGCGGGUUCCAACUUGCAGCGAGCAUCGCGGUCUUCGCAGCAGGUACGCAGAAGCAGGCUGGGGAGCAGAGGGCCGCUGGACCCCUUGCUUCGAAAAAUCCUUGCUGAAGUUAAAAAUCAAGAUGAACCAGACAAACUGCAGACCCAGUUAUUGCAGGAGCCAGUGUGGCCACAAGUUCCAGUCGCUCUUCUCUUGUUUUCUCCAUGCAUUCUUCUGUUCAUCUGUCUCCUUUCCCUGCCUGGCAGCCCUCUUGCUGCCUUUCCGACGAACUGUCAUUACCUCCUCUCUGACAAUGUCUAACUGACAUUGCCCUCCUCUCUGUUCCUGCUCCCCUCUUCCUCUCUUCUGUUUUCUCUCUCCCCCUACUCUCUCUGUCUCCGACCUUCCUCCACUUCUCCCUCCCUCUCCUCCCUUCCUGAACCCUGCAUCUCCACCCAUCUCCUUUUUUCUAUCUCAGUCCCCCCUCAUUCUCUAAUUCACCUUUCUUCUUUCCUCCUUCUCUCCAUCCCUUCAGUAUGGUUGCCGCUAUUAUAUGGCUGCAUCUCUUUAAAUCACGCUUAACCUACCAAUCACUGAUGGCACUCAAUGCGUCAAUAAGGGAAUUUGCUGAAAGUCUUUGCUUUAUUAUUAGUGGUUUAACUAGCACCCUUUGUAUGCCCCGAGAUAGGUUCAUCCCUUAAAAUUUCACAAAACUGAAGCAUCUGCACUCUCCUCUACUUAUAGAAAUGUAUCUCAUUCUCAGUGUGUAUACAUCACACUUCGUGAAAGCAGACAUUUCAUAAUCUUUGGCCACACUGAGGCUCCCAAGGCAGUACAGAAAUCCAGGUGUCCUCAAGUUAGGAAAUAUCAAUCUGGUCCACAGAUACUACCUUCAUGGUGGGCAAUGGUGUGAAAAUGCCUGUGUGAACUGACUGUUUUCUUUUUGGAAAGUCAGUUUAGGGGCCUCCUCUCUUCGGAAUUUGCCAGUGGAAAAGAAAAAGGAUGAUCCAGAGAUUUUAUUUUAUUUUUAAAAUUUUUAUUAGUGGGAGUUCCCGUCGUGGCGCAGUGGUUAACGAAUCUGACUAGGAACCAUGAGGUUUCGGGUUCGGUCCCUGCCCUUGCUCAGUGGGUUAACGAUCCGGCAUUGCUGUGAGCUGUGGUGUAGGUUGCAGAUGCGGCUCGGAUCCCGCAUUGCUGUGGCUCUGGCGUAGGCUGGUGGCUGCAGCUCCGAUUCGACCCCUAGCCUGGGAACCUCCAUAUGCUGCGGGAGUGGCCCAAGAAAUAGCAAAAAAAAAAAAAAAAAGACAAAAAAAAUUUUAUUAGUGAAUAGUUGAUUUACAAUGUUGUGCCAAUUUCUCCUGUAUAGCAAAGUGACUCAGUCAUGCAUAUAUAUAUAUAUAUAUUUCUUUCCUUAUGUUAUUGUCCAUCAUGGUCUAUCCCAAGAGUCUCAUCCAGAGAUUUUACAUGGGAGCUUCUAUUCAUCGAUACACUCUGGGUUAGACAUUGAUAUGUAAGCCUCAUACAGAUGAUCUUAUUUAACCCUCCCAAUUAUCCCAUGAAUAGAUAUACUUAUCAUUUCCAUGUUAAGGAAGAGUAAACCAAGACUUGGGAGGGUUAGCCCAAGGUUAGACAAUUGGGGGAUGACAGAAAAAAAGAUGGUCACACUUGCCAGUGAGACCAAGCACAUCUGAAGUAGUAUUUAAAUUGAGUCUAACAGCUCUCCCUGUGAAACCUACACCUAAGGGUCUAUACAACUUAGCUGUAUUCUUCUCUUGGGUGGAACCACCUUGUCUUUCCAGGAUUCAGGUUUUCUUUCUUUCUUUCUUUUUCUUUUGUUUUUAAGGGCCACACCCAUGGCGUAUGGGCAUAACCCCAGGCUAGCAAUUCAAUUGGAGCUUCAGCUACUGGCCUACACUACAGACAGAGCCAUGUGGGAAUGUGAGCUGUGUCUGUGACCUACACCACAGGUCACCACAACUCUGAAUCCUUAACCCACUGAGUGAGGCCAGGGAUCAAACGCACAUCCUCCUGGAUCUUAGUUGUGCUCAUUACCACUGACUCACAAUGGGAAUUCUGGAUUGAGUUUUUCAAUGGUGACAUGGAGCAAAGAGAGUUUAUCUUAUCCCACAAGAGCAUGGACUGCUAGCUGUUGGCUCAUGGCCUGUGCUUUCUAGAAGUUCCUUCCUUUGGCUACAGAAGACCCACAAGUGCAUUCAGACACACAGAUCAUAGCUGAUUGGGCCAACAACUAAAGAACUCUUGGAAAUAGCACACCCAAAAACACUGACCCAGAGACUGAAUCUUUCUCCUAUCUUGUGUGUGUGUGUGUGUGUGUGUGUGGGUGUGGGUGGGUGUGUGUGUGGGUGUGGGUGUGUGUGUGUGUAUGUGUGAGAGAGAGACAGAGACAGUGACAGAGAAACAGAGAUAUACACAGAGAACAAAUCAUGUAUCAUUUACUGAACGAUAUGUUCUAAGAACCCUGCUAGGGAUUUUUUUUAAUGGCCACACCCUCAGCAUAUGAAAGUUCCUGGGCCAGGAAUUGAAUCUGAGCCACAGCUGGGGCCUAAACCCCAGCUGUGGCAAUGCUGGACCUUUUAACUUAUUGCACUGGGCUGGGGAUCAAACCUGCACCUCUGCUGCAAUAU